AUCCCUAGCCUGGUAUACGAUUCGUGUGUUUGGUUUCAUGGCUCUUCACACAGAGUACGGUUGCAAUAAACGCACCUUGAGUCCGCAAAGGUUUUCGCCGAUGAGAAAAUAGACCGCGACCAAAAAAGGAAAUGGUGACCAAUCUGAAGAAGCAUCUCGUUCAUUUGAUAGCAAAGAUCAUGGAAAAUUUUUGCCUCUAGAAUUGUAUAGGCGUCUGGCUGAAGAAAUCGCUAGAGGUUUAGGCUUAGGUGAUCAAUCUGAAGAAUAAUCACAUUAAUUCGACAAUGAAUAUCAAGAAAAAUUUUAUUUUUGGUGGUGAAAUUGUUGAGCGAAUAGUUUAGCUCUUUUUCCCGACAGUACAGAUGACGAUUCGAUAAUGACGGAUUCAGACAACGAAUUUUGAUUUGA